UGGUGGUAGGGGGUGGUGGUAGUGACGGGGGGUGGUGGUAGGGGUGGUAACACCCCUCUGGGCAGCCCGCUGAGAGAGGAGAGGUCACGGCAAAGACAAAGAGGAAUGGCGUCCGGCAAGCUGAGCCGCCACCACCACCACCACCCCACCACUAACCCCGGCCGGCGACGAGACGGAGAGCAGCAAGGACAUCUCGACAUCACGUACUCCAACACCACCACCAGCACCACCACGCCACCAUUCACCAACACUUUGACCACUCGCGAUCUCCAUCGUCCCCGCCGCAGUCGGUGACUUCACAUUCUCGUGUGUGUCCCUCCCACGCACUUUGCUCGUCCCGCUCGUUCCGUCAUUGCCAUCCGCCACACGAUUUGCCACUCGCUACACUAUUUGCGAUGCGAUCGCAAUCCGGCACCGUUAUUAACACGUGUGUGUGUGUGUGUCCACGUUGCUAACACUCGCCCACCUUCACCCAGCACACUCACGAACCAGCCCAAACAACGAAGCCAAAAGCUACGUUCAUGCCACACCACAUAACCUUCAUCUCAACCACUCAUCAUCAACAUUAUCCACUGUCCAGACAUCCUCGACGUUCCCCUUCACCACCACCACGACCACCACCAUCAUCAUCAUCUCCUUGGUGGCCACACACCGACCACAUGGAUGGGACACGCCGAUGUAUCCUGUCAAUGUGAAGAGGGGCUACUUUGUGGUUGGCGGUGUUGGUUGUUGCUGCCCUCUGACCGUCGUGCGCAGUCUCGGACACGUCUGGCAACAUCACAGGUUGACGUUUAAAAAUCAUCCUAAUUUUACGGAGAAGACGCUGUCGUUAUGCAUGGUGCAUCCUGUACAAGUUGGGUCACAACGGUGGUGAUGAUGGUGGUAGUCUUCCAUCACGGAGUCUCUAAAGCAUUGAAAUACAGCAGGGCUGAAAAACACAAGCUUGGGUUCCAUGCUGUCGGACAAGGCUUAAGUGAUACCGAUGAAGACUGCAAGACAGGAGGAAUACCCCAUAGGAGGCACUGCGCCUUCAGGUUCAACCCUGGCAUGAAUUGGAGAGAGUUACAUGGGCUGUUGCAACUCGUGGCUAAUUAUUAUUAUAGCCACCUCGAGCUCGGAGUCUUAUGGUGAAUGAAUAAGUUUCGUACGCAUACUUUAAGGAUGCAGUAUUUUUUGAGCUUAUGAAAGAGCAGAAUUUUGCCAACGCUGAGCCAAACUAUACCACCACAGUGAAAUAAGCUUAAAAGGUUAAACAAAAUAUACUGAAGCACAUUAGCUGGUUUAAAUGCUGACGGAAAAUAACUGUUUUUGUCACCUACCGUUAGAUUCCAGAAAUUCCACCAUUGGCUCCGUGCUGCAGUGGAGAUGAGCAUUGUCCCGCCCUCGUGUGACUAGGGAGACAUGUUUACUAACCCAUAGACCUGCAUGGUGCAGCAUAACCCAGUGGCAAUUACUUAUCGGGUAAUGACUAACUGAAGUUAAAACAGAUCUAAUUUGCCCUUAAAAUUGUGUUCUUGCGAUAUGUUAUUCCAGAAAACACGUUGAUCAUGAAAAUACAUUCUACUUUAUUUUGGUUACUGAUCAUACACAUGUUUAUUCGUGAAAAAAGGUUGGCUUUCUGCGGGCUACAUGGCUUCUGCUGAUAGCUCUAACGGUAUCUUUACUGCCAACUGCGUUCUUUUGUACGGAAAUUCUAGUCGCCUAAAAUGUUAUCGUCGGAUUAAACUCGUCACCUCGGUGGUUUGUAAAGAGAUUGGGCUUAACCUUAGGAACCUAAGUUCCACCACUGGCUCAUGCUGCGCAGUGCUCGUGAAAUCACUUUGACUUUGAAUCAAUGGAAACUUUACCAAUUGUUGCUAGCUCUGGAUUAGAUUUUGUAAAAUUAAACGCGAUGCUACAAUAUUGCACUGAGGUAGCAUAUGUCACGCGAUAUUUUUUUUUAUCAGUCGUUGUUUUCCAUAACACUGGAUUAUUUUCCAAAUGUUUCUUAAUUUUGGGACAUUUGGUACGGCGCUUUAGUUUGUAAGACCGGCUUGGCUCUGAACAUGGCACUUAGCGAAGCUUAAUCUUUGCCUGCCUUACCUGGUUCCCUUGCAUAAGUAUAAUUUGCAAGAAGCAAAACUUGAAAACCUGUUCGUGUACACGCGGUGCCUGGGUAUUGGCUCGUGUUGUGAUGCACAAGCGCGCUUGUGUGUGUGUGCGCGCGCGCGUGCGUGUGUGUUUGCGCGCGCGUGAGAAUAAACAGCAAUGUGCUUGCUCUGCAGCGAGCGCAUUGACGCAUGCGUUGCCAGCUGUGCUCUGCGGAAAAAUCCAUAUGCGCACAUCUACCGUCACAGAAGGGAAGUGAAAUUGUUAUGCUAAUUGUGAUGCGAUAAUAAAAUCAAAUUGGACGAUGCCGAAACGUGCAACCCCCCCGUACACAAAUAAAUCUCUUGCGCGGUGUAAAAAAAAGAAUUUUAGCGGGUAAAACCGUGGAACAGAUGACACUGAUGUCUUGACCAUAUUGCGGUGGCAGUUGGUGUGAGUGAGACUUCGCGGAGUGUGCGAAGUGCAUAUUGGCAAGUCGAUGCGCACAGAAACAGGGUCAUUGACAGUUGCGCUGCAAUAGAACAUGCUUGAGCUCUCGCUGCUUGUGGUUAUCAAACUAAUCAUUGGGUCUCGUCAACAUUCUUGCUUUGACCUUUUUGGUCAUUCCAAGCGUGCACAUACCGCACGUGAAUUUAUUUCAUUGGUGCAUAAGUGGACUGGUGGUGGAGUCUGCUCACGGAGUUUACGAAUUACGUGUACAGUAAUGUCUUUAUAAAUCUGUUGUGACCUUAUCAGGUCUGUCCUUUUGUAUGACAUUUUGAAAGCCAUUGGACCGCAUUUGUGAUGAUAAUGAAGAGUAUGGGUUUCCUUUGGUGCAAAAAUGACAACGGAAAAAAAAUGUUUACUUGCCCGAAAAACCAAAGGGUACAUGUUGGAGUUUGCAGCUGUGGUGCAAAUUGUAUUGACAAGGAUGCAUCAUCCGUCAUUAUUUGUAAUAAUAAAAUAAUGACCGCCUGGAA